UACGUAGGGUGCGAGCGUUAAUCGGAAUCACUGGGCUUAAAGCGUGUGUAGGCGGAUCGUUAAGUGUCUUGUGAAAUCCCACGGCUCACCCGUGGAACUGCUGGGCAUACUGGCGAUCUUGGGCCAACUAGGGGCAACUGGAACAAGCGGUGGAGCGGUGAAAUGCGUAGAUAUCGCUUGGAACGCCAACGGUGAAAACAGGUUGCUGGGGUUGUGCCGACGCUGAGACACGAAAGCCAGGGGAGCAAACGGG
rnacentral:rRNA from 1 species